AAACUAACAAGGAUUCCCUUAGUAACGGCGAGCGAAACGGGAAUAGCCCAACUUGAAAAUCUCCCUUUGGAGAAUUGUAGUCUAUAGAAGCGCCCUCAUGGGCUGGCAGAGCUCAAGUCGGAUCGAAUGCCGCGUCAGAGAGGGUGAUAACCCCGUCGGCUCUGUCCUAGUCCUUCCACGAGGUGCUUUCCAC
rnacentral:rRNA from 1 species